CUGGUAUUAGUCUAAUUUGGUAAGGCUCUACAUUUGGGAUGUAGAAAGUGUUGGUUCGAAUCCAUCAUACCAGA
rnacentral:tRNA from 1 species